rnacentral:rRNA from 1 species
CUCCCAUUGGUGCGGCUGCCAUCCGCCCAUCAGCUCCCUUCAUCCCCCCACCCUGUUCCAUCCAACCGUGACCUCAGAUCAGACGUGGCGACCCGCUGAAUUUAAGCAUAUUAGUCAGGGGAGAAAAAGAAACUAACCAGGAUUCCCUCAGUAACUGCGAGUGAACAUGGAAGAGCCCAGAAUCGAAUCCCCGCCCCACGGUGGCAGAGGGCUGAGUAAGGUAGGUGAGGUGGGUGCGGCUCACCCCAGUUGCCAUCCCGGAGGGUGACAUUGCUGCACUCGCGUUGGGUACAGCACCCCCCGGGGGGCACGCUGUGGCCAGCUGCACCCCCUGCACCCCCCAGGAGGCUCACGGUGGGCGGCUGUGCAUCCCCGCACCCCCAGGAGGCUCGCCUUGCCCCCCCCGUGACAUUAGCCCUGCCGCCUGGGAUGCUAGCCCCACCCCCGCGGGUGGCCAGCCCGGUGCACGCUGCUCCGUCUCUCUAUGCAUGGUGAGGUGCAGGAAAUGUGGCAUACAGAAGACCCACUCCCCGGUGCUGCUCCGAUGGGGGGGCCUAAGUCCUUCUAAUCAAGGCACAGCCCGUGGAUGGUGUGAGGCCGGUAGAGGCCACCGGCGUGCCAGGACCGGGUCUUCUUGGAGUCGGGUUGCUUGGGAAUGCAGCCCAAAGCAGGUGGUAAACUCCAUCUAAGGCUAAAUACGGGCACAAGACCGAUAGUCAACAAGUACCGUAAGGGAAAGUUGGAAAGAACUUUGGAGAGUUCAAGAGGGCGUGUAACCAUUGAGAG